GCGUCGGGGGUCCGGUCGGACGGACGCCGCCCUCGUAAGGCGGAGGCGCGGGUUCGACUCCCGCCCGGCGCU
rnacentral:tRNA from 1 species